UACGUAGGGGGCAAGCGUUGUCCGGAAUCAUUGGGCGUAAAGAGCGUGUAGGCGGCUCGAUAAGUCUGCUGUGAAAGUCCAGGGCUCAACCCUGGAAGGCCGGUGGAAACUGUCGGGCUAGAGUCCGGAAGAGGCGAGUGGAAUUCCCGGUGUAGCGGUGAAAUACGCAGAUAUCGGGAGGAACACCAAUGGCGAAGGCAGCUCGCUGGGACGGUACUGACGCUGAGACGCGAAAGCGUGGGGAGCAAACAGG
rnacentral:rRNA from 1 species